rnacentral:rRNA from 1 species
UACGUAGGGGGCAAGCGUUGUCCGGAUUUACUGGGCGUAAAGAGCGCGCAGGCGGUCGUUCAAGUCGGAUGUGAAAGCCCCCGGCUCAACUGGGGAGGGUCAUUCGAUACUGAUCGACUCGAAGGCAGGAGAGGGAAGCGGAAUUCCCGGUGUAGUGGUGAAAUGCGUAGAUAUCGGGAGGAACACCAGUGGCGAAGGCGGCUUCCUGGCCUGUUCUUGACGCUGAGGCGCGAAAGCUAGGGGAGCAAACGGG